GAUGAACGCUGGCGGCGUGCCUAAUACAUGCAAGUCGAGCGAACAGACGAGGAGCUUGCUCCUCUGACGUUAGCGGCGGACGGGUGAGUAACACGUGGAUAACCUACCUAUAAGACUGGGAUAACUUCGGGAAACCGGAGCUAAUACCGGAUAAUAUAUUGAACCGCAUGGGUCAAUAGUGAAAGACGGUUUUGCUGUCACUUAUAGAUGGAUCCGCUCCGCAUUAGCUAGUUGGUAAGGUAACGGCUUACCAAGGCAACGAUGCGUAGCCGACCUGAGAGGGUGAUCGGCCACACUGGAACUGAGACACGGUCCAGACUCCUACGGGAGGCAGCAGUAGGGAAUCUUCCGCAAUGGGCGAAAGCUUGACGGAGCAACGCCGCGUGAGUGAUGAAGGUCUUCGGAUCGUAAAACUCUGUUAUUAGGGAAGAACAAAUGUGUAAGUAACUAUGCACGUCUUGACGGUACCUAAUCAGAAAGCCACGGCUAACUACGUG
rnacentral:rRNA from 1 species